rnacentral:tmRNA from 2 species
GGGCACGAAUAAGGCAUUGACAGGGAGACUAAUUGCUCCUGAAUGCAGGCCGAGUUUCCUAGGCACUCGUUAACGAACUAGGGGCACCAAAAAUGCCAACAUAUUUUCCCCGCAAAGGGAACUUGCCUACGCAUAAAAGCGCUUAGGCCAUCUGACUCAUUGACUCUCGAUAUAUGAGUCGGGUGUCAACCCAUCGAGAUUUAGGGUAAUUUCUGAAUAAGCCCAGGAAACUACUUGAAACAGCAGGGCUCAAGGGAGGAGGUUUUGCCCAGUUCACGACUUCUCUCGUUUCUUUCAACUGGGAUACGCCUGUAGAGUUCGGAGUGAUUACUUCUUGGACGUGGGGUCGGGACCCGCCGUGUCCACAA